UUACUACUCCCUCCGUCCGGAAAUAUUUGUCGAAAAAAUGAAUGUAUCUAGACGUAUUUUAGUUCUAGAUACAUCCAUUUUUAUCCAUUUCUUUGACAAGUAUUUCCGGACGGAGGGAGUAGAUC
rnacentral:pre_miRNA from 1 species